AGCUUUGCACAGUGGCAGUAUUGUAGCCAAUGAGGUUUAUCCGAGGCGUGAUUAUUGCUAAUUGAAAACUUUUCCCAAUACCCCGCCAUGAUGACUUGAAAUACAGUCAGCAUUGGCAAUUUCUGACAGUCUCUAUGGAGA
rnacentral:snRNA from 1 species